rnacentral:rRNA from 1 species
GUGGGGAAUCUUGCGCAAUGGGCGAAAGCCUGACGCAGCCAUGCCGCGUGAAUGAUGAAGGUCUUAGGAUUGUAAAAUUCUUUCACCGGGGACGAUAAUGACGGUACCCGGAGAAGAAGCUCCGGCUAACUUCGUGCCAGCAGCCGCGGUAAUACGAAGGGGGCUAGCGUUGCUCGGAAUUACUGGGCGUAAAGGGCGCGUAGGCGGACAGCUUAGUCAGAGGUGAAAGCCCAGGGCUCAACCUUGGAAUUGCCUUUGAUACUGGCUGUCUUGAGUUUGGGAGAGGUGAGUGGAACUCCGAGUGUAGAGGUGAAAUUCGUAGAUAUUCGGAAGAACACCAGUGGCGAAGGCGACUCACUGGCCCAAUACUGACGCUGAGGUGCGAAAGCGUGGGGAGCAAACAGGAUUAGAAACCCGGGUAGUCC